rnacentral:rRNA from 1 species
AACGCUGGCGGCAUGGCUAAAACAUGCAAGUCGAACGCGAAAGUUUCUUCGGAGACGAGUAGAGUGGCGAACGGGCGAGUAAGGCGGUUCUAACGUACCCUUAGGCGAGGGAUAGCUCGAGGAAACCCGUGGUAAUACCGCAUAAUCCGGUAACGGCAAAGGUCGGCCGCCUUGGGAGCGGGAAAUGUCCUAUCAGGUAGUUGGUGGGGUAAAAGCCUACCAAGCCUUAGACGGGUAGCGGGUGUGAGAGCAUGACCCGCCGCAUCGGGACUGAGACACUGCCCGGACUCCUACGGGAGGCUGCAGCGACGAAUAUUCCGCAAUGCGCGAAAGCGUGACGGAGCAAUGCCGCGUGAAGGAUGAAGCCUCUCGGGGUGUAAACUUCUGUCAGGUCUUAGAAAGUACUGAUCAGGACCAAAGGAAGGCCGGCUAAGUUCGUGCCAGCAGCCGCGGUAAUACGAACGGCCCGAGCGUUAAUCGGAAUCACUGGGCUUAAAGCGUACGCAGGCGGACCAGAAAGUACCUUGUGAAAUCCCUCGGCUCAACCGAGGAACUGCUUGGUAUACUGCUGGUCUUGAGUGUGGUAGGGGCGGUCGGAACGAUAGGUGGAGCGGUGAAAUGCGUAGAUAUCUAUCGGAACGCCAAAGGAGAAGUCAGGCCGCUGGGCCACCACUGACGCUCAUGUACGAAAGCGUGGGUAGCGAACGGGAUUAGAUACCCCGGUAGUCCACGCCCUAAACGAUGUGCACUAGACUCGGGAGGAUCUGACGCCCUCCGAGUCGCAGAGAAAUCAUUAAGUGCACCGCCUGGGGAGUACGGUCGCAAGGCUAAAACUCAAAGGAAUUGACGGGGGCUCACACAAGCGGUGGAGCAUGUGGCUUAAUUCGAAGCAACGCGAAGAACCUUAUCCUGGAUUUGACAUGUACGGAUUAGCUGGGAGAAACCUCAGUGACGCUCUUUACGUGGAACAUACACAGGUGCUGCAUGGCUGUCGUCAGCUCGUGCCGUGAGGUGUUAGGUUAAGUCCUUCAACGAGCGAAACCCUUGCCGUUAGUUGCCAGCGAGUCAUGUCGGGGACUCUAGCGGGACUGCCGGUGUUAAACCGGAGGAAGGUGGGGAUGACGUCAAGUCCUCAUGGCCUUUAUGCCCUGGGCUGCACACGUGCUACAAUGGUAUCUACAGAGCGAAGCGAUGUCGCAAGGCGGAGCAAAUCGCAAAAAAGAUGCCCCAGUUCGGAUUGGGGUCUGCAAUUCGACCCCAUGAAGGCGGAAUCGCUAGUAAUCGCGUAUCAGCUACGACGCGGUGAAUACGUUCCUGAGCCUUGUACACACCGCCCGUCACGUCAUGGAAGCCGCAGUUGCCUUAAGUCGCCCUAAUUCAGGGGUGCCCACGGUAAGCUCGUGACUGGGACUAAGUCG